rnacentral:rRNA from 1 species
AUGGGUGAGAUAGCGGCGGACGAGCGCGGGCUCGCCGGCGGCAAGGGGUCGGAGUUGGAGGAGGAGGAGACGUCCCCGAUCGAGGAGGUGCGGCUGACCGUGCCGCCCGGCGACGACCCGACGCUGCCGGUGUGGACGUUCCGGAUGUGGAGCAUCGGGCUGCUCUCCUGCGCGCUCAUGAGCUUCCUCAACCAGUUCUUCUCCUACCGGACGGAGCCGCUGAUCGUGACCCAGAUCACGGUGCAGGUGGCGUCGCUGCCCAUGGGCCACUUCCUGGCGCGCGUGCUGCCGCGCCGCAGGUUCCGGGCGCCGGCGCUGCUCGGCGGCUGGGAGUGGAGCCUCAACCCGGGGCCCUUCAACAUGAAGGAGCACGUGCUCAUCUCCAUCUUCGCCAAUGCCGGCUACGCCUUCGGCAACGGCAACGCCUACGCCGUCAUGAUCGUCGACAUCAUCCGCGCCUUCUACGGCCGCUCCAUCUCCUUCAUCGCCGCCUGGCUCCUCAUCACCACCACCCAGGUGCUCGGGUACGGGUGGGCGGGGCUGAUGCGCAAGUACGUGGUGGAGCCGGCGCACAUGUGGUGGCCGAGUACGCUCGUGCAGGUCUCGCUCUUCCGGGCACUGCACGAGAAGGAGGAAUCUCCCAAGGGCUCGCGGCAGAUCUCCCGCUCCAAGUUCUUCCUGGUGGCGCUCAUCUGCAGCUUCGCAUGGUACGUCGUGCCGGGCUACCUCUUCCCGGCGCUCACCUCCAUCUCAUGGGUGUGCUGGGUCUUCUCCAAGUCCGUGACCGCCCAGCAGCUCGGCUCCGGCAUGAAGGGCCUGGGCCUGGGAGCUUUCACGCUCGACUGGUCGGCCGUCUCCUCCUUCCUCUUCAGCCCGCUCAUCUCGCCCUUCUUCGCCACCGCCAACAUCUUCGUCGGCUACUUCUGCUUCCUUUACGUGCUUGUGCCCACGGCGUACUGGGGGAUGAACCUCUACAACGCCAAGACGUUCCCCAUAUUCUCCUCGCACCUGUUCAUGUCUAACGGGUCGGCAUAUCAAAUCACUGACAUUGUGAACCAGCAGUUCCAGCUUGACACGGAGGCCUAUGCAAGGCUCGGAAGGAUAAACCUCAGCACCUUCUUCGCGCUGUCUUAUGGGCUCAGCUUCGCCACCAUUGCCUCCACCAUCACGCACGUCGGCAUCUUCUACGGGAAGGAGAUCUACCACCGGUUCCGUGCUUCGCAGCAGGAGGAGCCUGACAUCCACACAAAGCUGAUGAGGAAAUAUGACGACAUACCAGCGUGGUGGUUCUACUCCCUGACAGUAUUGUCAAUGACAGUGUCCCUCAUCCUCUGCACCGUCCUAAAGGACCAGGUUCAGCUCCCAUGGUGGGGCCUCCUCUUCGCCUGUGGCAUGGCCUUUGUCUUCACGCUCCCCAUAAGCAUCAUUACUGCAACCACUAACCAGACUCCUGGCCUGAAUGUCAUCACUGAAUACGCCAUGGGGCUAAUAAUGCCGGGAUACCCCAUCGCCAAUGUCUGCUUCAAGGUGUACGGCUACAUGAGCAUGUCGCAAGCAGUAGCAUUCCUCUCAGAUUUCAAGCUCGGACACUACAUGAAGAUACCUCCAAGAUCAAUGUUCAUUGUUCAGUUUGCCGGUACACUGGUGGCCGGGACUGUUAACCUCAGCGUGGCAUGGUGGCUACUUGGGUCUGUCGAGAACAUCUGCCAGGACCAACUGCUGCCACCAGACAGCCCAUGGACAUGCCCUGGUGACCGUGUCUUCUUUGAUGCAUCGGUCAUCUGGGGCCUUGUUGGCCCGAAGCGCAUUUUCGGGCCACAUGGUAACUACGAAGCCGUCAACUGGUUCUUCCUCAUCGGCGCAGCAGGCCCUGUCAUCGUGUACAUCUUCCACAGGAUAUUCCCCAGUCAGAGGUGGAUACUGAUGAUAAACCUGCCGGUGCUCAUCGGCGCUACAGCCAACAUGCCACCAGCGACGGCCGUGAAUUACAACUCAUGGCUGCUGAUAGGCACCAUCUUCAACUUCUUCGUGUUCCGGUACCGGAAGAAGUGGUGGCAGAGGUACAACUACAUCCUCUCUGCCGCGCUCGAUGCAGGCGUCGCGUUCAUGGCGGUGCUGCUGUACUUCACACUGACCAUGGAGAACCGGACAGUCAACUGGUGGGGCACGGCGGGUGAGCACUGUCCUCUGGCCUCAUGCCCCACUGCUAAAGGGGUGGACUUGGGCCCGGAUAGUGUGUGCCCUGUGUUCUAA